AAGUCGUAACAAGGUUUCCGUAGGUGAACCUGCGGAAGGAUCAUUAUCGAGUUUUUGAACAGGUUGUAGCUGGUCUUCCACGAGACAUGUGCACGCCUGGCUCAUUCCACUCAUCAACCUUUGUGCACCUCAUGUAAGAAACGGUUGAAGGGUCAGCUCAGCUUUGCUUAGUUGAUCAAGAAGCCUUUCUUAUGUUUUAUUACAAACGUUUCAGUUAUAGAAUGUUUACUGUGUAUAACACAUUUAUAUACAACUUUCAGCAACGGAUCUCUUGGCUCUC
rnacentral:misc_RNA from 1 species